AAAAAAAAAAAUUGCGUAGUGGUGCAUGCCUGUAGUCCCAACUACUUGGGAGGCUGAGGUGGGAGGAUCACUUGAGCCUGGGAAGCGGAGGUCACAGUUAGUCAAGAUAGCUCCACUGCCCUCCAGCCUGGGUGACAGAGUGAGACCCUAUCUCAAAAAACAAAUAAAUAAAAUCAGAACGAAAAAAUAUAAUAAUCACAAGUACAUAAGAACAAAUUCAUAUACUUUUUAAUUUUAUUUUUAAUGAAGAAAGGAGCCCACAAAGACAAAAAUACCCUCAGCAUUUCCAGGCACCACAAGAGUCACAAUGAGGCCCUAGUAAGGACACCAAUCCAGUUGAAGUUCAUGUAUUCAUACUGAGUACUCCUGGAAAUUUUCAUAUUUUAAAUUUAUAUAUUGCGCAAGACUUAGUCUUUGAUUUUCUAGUUUUUUCUAUUUAUACUAACACCUCAGAGACCUAAUACAUUUCAUGGCCUUUGUUUACUGUCUCUAUCGUAAUGACUUCCAAGUCCCUCUCUUCUCUAUUCUUGUGUUGGAGUUCUAAUUUUGUACUUCUAAGUACCUGUUGGGUAUUUCCACCUGUGUAUCUCAUCGCUGGCUCAGCCGACAAACACAUCACUGAGCUCACCAUCUUCCCCUGCUCUUCGGUUUUCUCUCUUCAAUUUUCCUGUCUAUUAGAGUUCCUGCUAACUCUGUAGUCAUUAAUGAACCAACCACAAGCUUGUCUCCUUCUUCAUCCCCUUAUCUGAGGACCUGAUUGAGCCUCUGGUCCCAUGCCCACUGCCAUCCCUAUUGAAGUCUCACUGCCAGUCCCUCAGCCAAGCAUCCUUACUUCUCAUCGAGUUCCACAUGCAGACUCCUGACUGACUUCUCUGCAUUCCAGCUUCCUUGUGCGAUACAUUCCUGACCCUCCCCGAAUUGAUCUUUGUACUGCUUUCAUCAUUUUCCUCCUCUGCUCCAUAAUUCCUCCGCACUUCAACCCAAACUCCUCACCCAGUUUAGAAAGCUCUGCUCACGUGGUUCCUCCCACUGUGGACAAUGCAUCUCCCAACACAUUAACACCCACCAGAGGUGAUGAUUAAGGAGUCCCUUCACUCACGAACUAGACUUGCUGUCUUAGUCUUUUGUGUCUGCUCUUUCUUUCAUUCAUUUACUCCAUUUUUGGGGUAACUACUCUGUCCCAGGCACAGACACCUUAAAUGGUCCUCUAUUACCUAUUCCAACCCUAUACAGCUUUCAAAGCUCAGGUCAACUUCCAAUCCAUGAAGCCCAGGUCUCCCUUCUAUCACAAGUCUUUUUCCUCUGAACUCCUGGGAAGCUUAGAGACAUUGUCAAACAUUUAGGACUUAAACAUGUGACAUGAGAUUUCCUGACUGUGUCACGCAUGCUCUCCAGUCUGACUUGUUUGAGUUUCUGCAAAGAUCUUUACAGAAGAUCUAUCUUCUUACCACUCAGCUGCAGCUGGCAUCGAGCCCUGGCUGGACUAGUCAUGCUAACCCCUUGGUUAUUAAUCAUCGCCAUGAUUUUUCAUGUGUUUACUAUAGUAUGAUCCAGGCGUUGACUAUACUGGGCACUUUAUGAGGUUGUUAUUAUCCUCCGUUUUUUACAGAUGAGGAAAGUGAGGCUCAGAGGGGUUAAGUGACUUCUCCAGUUUUACAUAGUUUGAAAGUGGCUGACUGAGAAUUUGAAUAUAGGUCCGACAUAAUUCAAAUAUUGUGCUCUUGACCACUUAACUAAAUUAACUCUACUUUCUGAUUGAUUCACAUAUGUUGAAAUCUACUCAUUCUCCUCCUAGUGUCAUUAUGUUUGUUUAUUCUCUCCUUUAUAUUUUUAAGGCCUGCUGGUCUAUCCUUUCCAGGAUCUACACUUAUGCUGGACCCACUAAGCUGUCCUAGAACAUCAUAGUAAAUGUUCACCAGAUAUUAAUUAUUUGAGUGAGAAUGGUUGUGAGCAUUGGGUACUCCCCCAGCCAGUACCCUUCUCUCUUGCAGUAGUAUAUUUUGUAGAUUAAAUAAAACUCAAGAUAAAAAAAACAAAUUAAUAAAUGAUCAAUGGAAACAGAAAUUUGGAACAUAAAAGUAUUAUUUCAAAAUGAACACAUUAUAUGUAAAAGCUCACAACCAGGAAUUUCUUCAGUUGGGUUUGCAGCAAUGUUAUGUCACUAAUACUAUAUUUCUCUCUGUAUGGCCAAACCUGUAAAGCCUCAAUAUCUGAUUAUGGAGCACAUCUAGACUGUUAAAAAGCUUUCUAUAAUAUUAAUAAAAUCAAAUAAUAAAUAAAAAUUAAAUUGACUAAUCAUAGCAAUUUCAUUUUGAGAAUGUUUUGUAGGCUGAAGGCAAAUCCUUGAGAUAUUUUUGCAGGAGCGUCAUUGCGAAACAGAAUCUGCAGUAGAACUAUGUCAUCUUCUGGUUCUGAGUGUGCCCUCUCAUUGCUGGCAGAUGCUUAAUGCAGUUAAGUAACAAGAUCUUGGAAGACAAGUGUUGAAGGUGAAAGAGGCACAAGAUAGAAGAAACCUGGGUCCUUAGAUCCUUGCUUGGAGGAAAACCACCUGCCAAUCCAGAACAUCAUUUUGGACUUCAUUUCAUAUUAGAUAUUAUGUUACCAAUGAGCAGGGACUAUGAUGAAUGUGUCUUUAGAACACCCAAUGAAGUGCCACUUGCCACAAGAAGCUAAGUCACAAUCUGAUGGCCAGAGGAGGCAAUCAUUCUUCCUACAGUUUUGUGCAUAAACCUUCCUGCCUCUCUGCUGGGGACCACCUAUGGGGAAAGGAAAACUUCUCUCUCAUGGCUCUCCUUUCCCAGGAAAACUUUAGCUCCUGUUGAGACCAACACCUUCCCUGGAGAAUGCAGAGUGAAGGGAUUAGGCCCAUCACAAUUUUCCAUUCAUGAUGUUGGGUCAAGCAAGGCAUCACACAGAAUGAAUAGAAACAGAAACAGCCCCACAUGUGAAGUAGGAGCCAUGCUGGAAUGAACAAGGGCCACGGUAUGGGUGAGUUACACGGUACAGAGCACAGGGGCUGACUGCUUUGUGCUCUUCCAGGUGGGAUCAUUACUUGCCAGCCUUCCAGCUGAUGCCAGUGGCAACAGCACGACAGGCUGAACUGGAUUCUUUAUGACUAUGUAUUCAUUAGGGGGAAAAAGCACUUCCAAUGCAAAUGAUUGAAAUGGAAACAAGAUGUGCACUCUGCUGCCUAAAUGAAAGCUCUACCAGGUAGGCCAUUCAAACUCAAUUAAGAGUAGCAAAACAGGAUCUAUCAGGACAGUGGCUGUAACCCCUGUCACAGAGAAUGGACAGUGAGCGGUCCAAAUGGAUUGGGGGGCAUGAAUGGCACCUGACUUACAGCAGGAGCUCAGCACUUUUACUCUCUUUGCCGCUUCACUGGAACCAGGAGAAAAAGACAUUAGGAUGAAGGAUAAUGUGUGAUACACACAUAAAGAUGAAAGCGAGAGGGACACAUGCAAUGUCACUUAUUGGAAGGACCACUUUAGGCUGCUCUGUCCUCUCUCCCCUGAAAACAUGUUCCACAUUGUUUUAACCAUCUGUGGCCCACUCUGGAGCUCAAGGAACCCUGGCCUUUCUGCUUUAUUGUGAGCACAGCCAUAUGAAACUGCAAUCUGGCAGCUGAAGGGGAAAGUACUUUUACUGUCUCUGCUGAGAAAGGGUUUGGAUGAAUCGAAUCCCCUGUUAUGCGUGAAAUUGUACCCUCUAGAAAGCUCUGUUGAUGACCCAACCCACGGUACCUGUGAAUGUGACCUUAUUUGAAAAUAUGGUCUUAUAAAUGUAAUCAAGCAAAGAUGAGAUGAUACUGAAUUAGGGUGGGCCUCCACCAACAUGACUGGUGUCCUUAUGAGAAGCAAGGAAGAGACAUAAGGAGAACAUGGUGUGACAAUUGAGACAGAGAUUGGAGUGAUGCAUCUACAAGCCAAGAAAUGUCAAGGGCCGUGAGCCACACCAGAAGCUAAGAGAAAGGCAUGGGACUGACCCUCCCCUAGAGCCAUCAGAAAGAGCCUGACCCUGGCGGCACCUUGCUUUUGGACUUCUAGACUCCAGAAUUAUGAGAAUAAAUUUGUGUUGCUUUAAGCCACUCAGUUUGUGGUAAUUUGUUAUGACAGUUCUAAGAAACUAAUCCACCCUGCUAAAGAGUAAAUGUCUGAUGCAAAACUCACUACAUGGAUGAAAAGGCUGAGAUAUUCCGAAGAGUCAUAAUGAACUGUGCCGUCAUCUACAAAGGAAGUGCAGCACUGCAACAACUCAAGAUAGAUUCUGGAGACGUGGCAGGACAGACGUGCCUACCAGACUAGGAGCACUUUCAGGACAGCGUCAUGCCUUGUUCUCCUCCACAUCCCUCCGUGCCUGAAAAUCAGAAAUGCUCAAUUAAAUGUUGAAAAUGUCAAUAAAUUCAUAGGAAAACGAUCUCAGAUAAGUCAAUAACGUUAUGUUAUUUUAUUUUAUUUUUGAAAUGGAGUCUUGCUUUGUCACCCAGGCUGGAGUGUAGUGGCACGAUCUCAGCUCAUUGCAACCUCUGCCUCCCAGGUUCAAGCGAUUCUCCUGCCUCGGCCCCCUGAGUAGCUAGGAUUAUAGGCAUGCACCACCACGUCCAGCUAAUUUUUGUAUUUUUAGUGGAGACGGAGUUUCACCAUGUUGGUCAGGCUGGUCUCGAACUCCUGACCUCGUGAUCCACCCACCUCGGCUUCCCAAAUUGCUGGGCUUACAGGUGUGAGCCACCGCACCCAGCCAUGAUUAACCUUAUUUUAUGAUGUCAUGUAAGUCCUUACCACCACCUUCCAUGAAGACGUAACUGACAAAGACAUCUGAUUUGAUGCUUUCAUUGGAGAAACCCACCCUUGGCCAUUGAAGAGCACAACUUUGGGUUUCUUUGAGAUUUAAUCUGGUCCUUGGAUUCCCAAAUGGCAGACGUGGCCAGUAACAGCUUUUUACAAAUCUUCAAAUCCCACUGACACUGGGAUUCUGCCCCUCAGACGUGGCUGUGGUUUUUUCACUGGCAGGGCAGGAUAUGUUACUCUCCGCUUAACAUCGGCCCACUCACAGUGUUAGUUAGCCUGCUGUUUCAUACAUGAAUCCAUCUGAAAUGCCUCCGAGUCUCCAGGUGAAGGGUGCUGCCAUCAGCAGCAGCCAAUAAAUGAAAUAAUACCAAAUAUAAAAUCAGCCACAUUGGUCUCCUGGAGGUAAAUAGAGCACAGGGGCGUUUCAUUUACUGAAAGGCCAGAAUUGCGAUACCUGUAAAUGUUGAAUGUGAAUGUGUUUUAUAAAGUGUAAAGGGCUGUAAAGAAGUCAGUUAUUAUGUUUAUUAUUGCUCCUGCUCUGUACACUUGAUCAAAUGACAAACCCAAAGGCUCACCUCUCUGGGCUCCGGUUUCCUUACUCAAAUGAGGGAAUUAUGUUUAAUAUCCCAAGCUCCCAACUAAAUCUUUUUUUUUUCCUUUGACUCUAUGAAUCUAUCAGCAGGAACUUCCAUCCAAAUUCCUGAAAUGUGGGAAUAUAUUUGAUGACGCUGUUUACAUAUAAUAUUAAUUUAUUUUGCAUAAAUUUUUCAGAAUAUGUUUUGUAUAACAUAGAAGAUGAAGGGGGAAAAAGUAAAGUAAGAUGGGAAAGUAGGCCAUAAGGAAGGAUAAGGAGAAACGCUUAAGAAAAUCCACCUAUUAUAAUAAUUAAAAUUCAGCUUACCUGGAAAGGGGAGGAGAGCAUUUAUGAUUAACAUGAAUGUAGUCUGUGCUCAUUGCAAAGUAAAUUUUCAGAAAAAAAGGGCAAAAUCUGAUUAUUUUAAUCGUCAGAUUAAAUGCAAUUAGAAAUCCCACCUACCUUUUAAAGUAAACAGCAAACUUAGUAUUUUACUACAUAAAAGAAACAAUUGAAAUAAUCCUAACUUCAGGUUAUCGUUGCAUAUAACAGAACAUUAUAUUUGAAAAUGAUCCUCAUUGAGUUUUUUGGAUUCAACAACUUUUUCUGUGGCUAAAAAUGUCCCUUGAGUUUCUGAAAUCUGCUAGAAUGCUGGGAAGAGCUGUGCAGAAAUACCUCCAAAGGGUCAGAAAGUAAUUUAGGAUUUUUAAUUCAAUGGAAUCAAUCUUUCUUGUGUAUUUUUACUUACUUUUUUAGACAAUAGGCCAAUGAUUGUAGGGUUUGUUCUAGCCUUGAAACCAACUCUCUGCAGAGCAAUUCCUGUUUCCACAAAGGGUGCAUCAGGAUGCAUGGGACCCCCGGAUCACAGGCCCCACGUGUGAACGAAGCAACACAGACCAUGGAUAACAGAGACCUCUCUAGGGUGAGUUCUCUUGAGAUGCAGGGCACGAUCAACAGGACGAACAAGCCUAAAGAUGACAAAUGGGUAUACUGGCAUGGGCUGGACGAAAGGAGGCAAUAGGGCUAAAAACACAGAACCAAACCUGUCAUUUCUCUCCACAACUUCCUUUUGAUCUCAAAUAUCAUGUGUUCUCACUUAUAAGUGGGAGCUAAACAAUGGGUACACUUGGGCAUGAAGAUGGAAAUCAUAGACACUGUGGAUUCCAAAGUAGGGGAGAAUGGGAGAGGGGCAAGGGUUCAAAAAUUACCUGUUAGGCACUAUGUUCACUAUCUUUUUUUUUUUUUUCUUUUUUGAGACGGAGUCUCGCUUUGUCGCCCAGCCUGGAGUGCAAUGGCGCGAUCCCGGCUCACUGCAACCUCUGCCCACCAGGUUCAAGUGAUUCUCCUGCCUCAGCCUCCUCAGUAGCUGGGACUACAGGCAUGCGCCACCACGCCUGGCUAAUUUUUGUAUUUUUAGUAGAGACAGGGUUUCGCCAUGUUGGGCAGGCUGAUCUCAAACUCCUGACCUCAAGUGAUCCGCCCACCUCGGCCUCCCAAAGUGCUGGGAUUACACAUGAGAGCCACCGCACCUGGCCUAUGUUCACUAUCUGGGUAACAAGUACACUAGAAGCCCAAUCCCACUGUUAUGCAAUAUACCCAUGCCUAUGUACGUGUACCCCCUGAAAACAUGCAUAUGUACCCCCGAAUCUAAAAUAAAAUAAAAGAGAUGCAGAAAAGAAUAAUUUAAAAAAUAUUUUGAGAAAUGUAUAACAAGAGCCAUAAAAGUGUUUAUAUUCCCUUGUCCUAGUAAUUCUGCUUGUGGAUAUUUAUCUUAACAAAAUCAUCAGAAAUGUGUAGAAUGAUUUAUGGAUAAGCAUGUUCACUGAAGCAUUCCUUAGACUAUAGGAAAAUUUGGGAAAAAAACCCCAAUAUACAAAAAUGAGGAAACACUUAAAUUAAUCGUAGUCCAUUCAGAUGAUGGAAUGCAGUGUAGAUAUGUAAAAAUCAUAUUUUCAGAGAUGGCUGUUGAUCAAUGAAAAUGCCCAAUCUAUAACAUUCCAUGAAAAAGACAGAUAUACAGCCAUAUAUUCCAUACAAUUAUAAUUUUAAAUAUGUAUGAAUGUGUGUGUAUAUAUAAUAUAUGUGAAAAAAUUGGAAAGAAAUACACUAAAAUGUUAACUCAUUAUCUCUAAGUGGCAGGAUUAUGAGAUUACAGGUGAUUGUUUCUGGUUCUUUGUAUUUUUUAGUAUUUUUUUUUAUUUUUUUGAGAUGGAUUCUCACUCUGUUGCCCAGGCUGGAGUGCAGUGGCAUGAUCUCAGCUCACUGCAACCUCUGCCUCCCAGGUUCAAGCGAUUCUCCUGCCUCAACCUCCCGAGUAGCUGGGACUACAGGUGCGCACCACCGUGCCCAGAUAAUUUUUGUAUUUUUAGUGGAGAUGGGGUUUCAUCAUGUUGGCCAGGAUGGUCUUGAUCUCUUGACCUCAUGAUCCACCCUGCUUGGCCUCCCAAACUGUUGGGAUUACAGGCGUGAGCCACUGCGCCUGGCCUAUAUUUUAGUGUUCUAAGAUUUUUCUACAAUGACUCUGUAUUGCUUUUAAUGUCAAAAAUCUCAAUAAUUUUGAAGGUUAUGGUAUUUAUAUACUUUUUUAAAAAAUGACAAAUGUUCUCCCUAAAUCAGAAAUGUGGACACCGUGUUUUGGCUUUAGUGUAGUGAGGUGGAGUAUUAUGAUUAAAUACUGUGUUUUCAAGCAUUAAUGACUCAAAGAGCAGGUACUUACAGAGCACCUAUUAUUGCCAUCAACCAGUGUUAUUGAGCACUUACUCAAUAAGUGUUGGCCUCUGACUUUACGCCUAAGAGUCAGGAGACCACAAAAAAGCAACAAUGUCAGGUCUGCAAGGUGAAGGCAAGAAGCUCAUGUUCUAGGUACUUGUGACUGUCCUGUAAUGCUAAAGAAUGAACCAUUACCAAAGAUUUGGCAAACUCGCCCAAGCUUACUCCUAAGGAGUCUAACCUUUGCCCAAGUAUCUAGGACUCAGGCCCACCUGCUUAGCCUGGUCUCACUGAAGUGUGGAGGCAAAGCAUUUGCAGCUUCAUCAUAUUCCAUUUUGUCUCAUAAGGAAAUUGUGUUAGUCCAAGAGGCUUGGUGUGUUACAUGGUUGUACAGCUUAGUGCUUUCUUAGCACUCUGUUUAAGUGCUGACAACUUGAUAUUUUCAUCAAUGGUUGCUAUAUUUCUCCAAUGUUAGGUUGACAGGCUAAUAAUUUCAGAAGUCAAUUUCUCCCUCUCUCUCUCUUCUCCCAGUUUACAUAUUUCUAUUUUCCAAUUCCUUUAUCUGCAUUUUGUAAAUACCUCAAAAUAGUGGAAGGCAAGGCCUCUAGGAUCACUUGGCCCAAUCUCCAUAUAAUUGGAUCCUUAGGGCUUGCUAUAUCUUUAAAGAAAUUGAGGUCACCUUUUGUCACCAAGAAUUAAGCACCUGUUGUGUGACUGAUGGAGAUCUGUACACAGAGCACAUUGCCCAGGGCAGGGGUGAUUUGGUUACAGGCAGCCUCUCGAUGUAUGAUAAAAGUUGGCAUCAGGUUGUAAACAUUUUGCUCACUGUAGCAGAAAGCUCUCUGUGAACGGAGAGCUGUCUAAACAGGGUGGUUGGCCACAGAACCUGCCCAGGGAUGCACCUCCUUUCCACAUUAGCCCAUGGCCUUUCCAGCCCUGAAAUCUGAGUUGCAUGUGAGUCACUUAGACAGGCCAUCUGUCAAUUAUUAAGCGACAUCAGUGGGCCCAGCAAUUCCAUUCUGCGUAGUGCAAAGGUCCUCCACACAUUCCAGGUCUAUACCAUCAAAGUGGCUAUUUUUCUCAACCUAUCCCUGCCCUUUAAGAAAAUGGGGGUCAUUUAUUUCCAGGGAUCACUAUUUACACCCCAUUGGCAGGUAGUGGAGCCCAGUGGUUAAUAAACAACCUUGUUUUAAAUCCCAUCUCUGUUGUUUGCAAGCUGUGUGUCUUUCAGAAACUUUACUUAAAUUUCUUGAGCAUCAGUUUCCUCACAAGGGUGUGGUCAAGUGAUAAUCAAGUAUUUGUACUUUAACCCUGUACCUGGCUGAUAGCAAGCCCUCAGAAAAGAAUUAACUUAGAGUUUUUAUACAUUCCCUCCAGUACAAUGUUCCUAACAUACAAGGGGCAUAUGUGUGUAUUAUGAGUGGGAAGAAGGAAGGAAGGAUGCAAUUGAUAAGGCUUGCAUUCAACAUUGCUGUAGUCAAACCCUCUUUCCUUAGGAAGAUCUGGAUGUGCCAACAUUUCUUAUAUAUCAUAUGUGGAGGUGACUUAGGUUUUUCUUUCAGUACUUCAUCAUUUGAAAGAGCAUUUGGUGAUAAUGAGCAGGUUCUGAAGUCUGUGAACUAAACUAAAAGUAAAAAUAAAUGGGACGGUGAAAUUUUGUUUGUGCCUUAAGGGAACUCCCUUUUACCCUCCCACUAUGUUGAUGAUGUCAUGUUUGUUCUAACAUAUCAUCUAACAAUUCCCUCCAUUCAUUUUUUUUCUCCUUAUUUCUUUUCCUUUCAAGUAACAGUAUCUUCAACAAUCGUUCGGCUGUUCAGGAACUUAAAAAUCAUGAGACGAUUCUUAAAGGAUAGGAACUAACAUUGAUCACACAGUGUGUAAUCCCACAUCUAUAUACUGGCAAAUGAUGGCACAAACACCAUAAAAUCUCAGCUUGCUUUGUAGCCAUUCUGGAUUGCUGAGUUCUAGGCAAGUAAGAGCUGGUCCUUCAAAGCACCAAAAGAAAGAAAGGAAGGAAG
rnacentral:lncRNA from 1 species